GGAUGUGAUGGUAAAGUCCAGAUUGUUUUCUCUCAGAGCUCCAGAAAUGAAGAUCAUUUGACAUAUGAGUCUCCUCCUACUGACUGCAGAGGUGCUUCAUGGCAGAAAACUGUUUGAUUCCAGCUGUGAACAUCAGACCAAACACAACUCACAGAACUUACUCAUACUGAACAUUCAGUUCCAGCCUUUCACCUCAGUGAACAUGGAAAAACUCUCUGCAGUUUUGUUCUGUUUAGUCCUCGUAGGUAACACCUUGGAAGAUCAAAUUACUGCCAACAGAGCUGAAGUGACUUCAUCAGAGGGCCUGAGUGUCACUCUGUCCUGUAACUAUUCAGUUAAAGCUGAGAAUCUCCAGUGGUAUCGACAGGAUGCUGGAUCAGCUCUUCAGUUCCUUCUCCUGAUUACUGAUGCAAAAGAGCCUUCAGUGGUGGAAGCAACACCUCCACACCCUGGACUGACUGUGAACCUGAAUGAGGAGAGAAAUCGAGUGGAUCUGCAGAUCUCCUCUGCUGCAGUGACAGACUCUGCUGUGUACUACUGUGCUCUGAGGCCCACAGUGACAGGAAACACCAAAACUCUGUACAAAAACCUUUGGAGCAAAGACAACAGAAUACUCCACAACAUCCACUAGAGGGAGUCACACACUGUUACACUGCAGUGGGAUGUGAUGGUAAAGUCUGGAGUGUCUUUAAUUUCUGAGUUGUGAUGUCAGAUGUUUUCCAAAUGAAACCACCGCAUGUGACUACACAAAUGGUCUUGUUUGUUUCUUCCAAUGAUGGGAAUCAUAAUUAGAUACAAAAUAUGUCAGAUCUUUUA